CGCCGCGCGCGACGUGCCUGACUCCUUUCGCCCAGACGCCCAGCCCCACAGCCGCCGCAGCACUCCGCCCCCAUCCUCCUGUCCUCCACCAUGAGCGCCUCCUCCUCCGCCUCCCCGCCGCGGCCUCUUCCUUCCUUGGCCGGCAGCCACUGCAUCUCCUCACCGUGGGGAGUGACAGUAGCGGCAGGGAGCCUCCCAUCCCCUCGAGCCGCCGGUGCCGGAUCCCGCUUCCGCCGCCCCCUUCGCGCAGUACUCCGCGCCCGCCGGCCAACUACAUGUGCAUCACCCUGGUAAGUCCCAGCCCAUGCUCUGUUCUUAUUCUCCGGCGAGAUUUUCUCAGCUAUGUUUCUUCUCCGGCUUGAGGGAGUGGAUUUCCAUCACUGGAUUCUUGGAUAAAACGAGGAGAUGCAAGAUAGUCCACAACCGCAUGGGCCAAACCUACAGGCUAUAGCUGGAUUGGCCUUGUUAAGUGAUAAUAUAUUAAGAUCUGGAACAUUGUGGAGCAACGAGUGACAAAAGUAUUAGAUGAGAUCUGGAAGAAUGCAGCUAACUCUUGGUUGACUGGACUUAUGAGGCGCAAGAUGAGUUCGUCCUAUGCUAGAAGGUGUGUGGGAUAUAGGAGAUACAAGGAGAGAUAUUUCAGUUGCAAUCCAGCUUUAUUUCAUUGUGAAACAUGAGAGAGCUACAUGGAGGUUUCACUGAGGGAGAUGGGGUUGAUGGAGAAGAAGAGGAAACAGAGGCGGGUGUUCUUGCGGCGCUCGGCUGGUUCCAAGACCGUGAGGGGAAGGACUUCAUGCCUCUGGAGGUGAAAGAGCAGAGGAUUCGGGAGAAGAAGCAACCAGAGGAGCCGGAGAACACGGCCCCUGUCCUGUAUAUCUGCCACAUCCCCCAUGCUUCUAUGAGUACCAGAUGCAAGGUUUCUCAGUAGCUUGGGGCUAUUAAGAAGAUGGUCUGUUGGUCAGUAUUGCCCGGAACUGCAAGAUAUCCUAUACUGCAUUAUUACAAGAUAUCUGGCGAUUUGUGUGUGUUUUCUGCAAGCCUCUAACUUGCUGUUUGGUCAUAUAUAUGUAGACAGGAAAAUCUAAGCAUUCAGAUAGUUAUAAGUACAUAUAUUUCAGUUGCAACUAAACUGUACAUGACGAUGAAUGAAUAUUAACUAAGUCAUUCACACAAAUAAAAAAGUAUACGGCAAGAGUGAAUAUCCAAUUAUCAGUUCAUGAAGUCAGACAGAUAAAAAAGCUGAUUCUUAAACACGAACAAAUAGAUAGAAUCUCGCACAAUUGCGACACCUUCGCCUUAUCGUUGUUAUCUUUUCCGCUUCCCUUCUCUUUAUUCCCCUUAAUUCUGUUUAUCCUACCCCUAGAUCGAAUAUCAUUUGGCAGGUGGAUGUUAAGUUCAUUAGUAAUGGUGCAACCAAUAAAUUCUUCAAACUCUUAUGGUACAGUUUGUUGUUUUGCUGGGACAUUCAGUUCGUUGCUUUCCAUCUCUAGAGAGCACGCCUCAUUCUGAUUGUUUAGUUUGAAUUAGCACAUUGAGGACAAAACAUCUCUUUUGGUUCCAUCUACUGCAGAACCUACUGGACAGAACAAAGUCGAGGGAAGAAGUAUGCGAGUCAAGUAUCCGUGAUGACCAACUGAUGAAAAUCACAUUUGAGUGGCCCAGUCGUUUGAUCUGCUCCAACACUACCGUUCCGGCUUUCAGAUUGAGUAACCUGUACCCACGUCUACUGCAAACCUACUAGACAGAAUAAAAUCGAGGGAAUAAGUAUAUAAACUCUUUAGUUAAUCAAGAUGAAUAGAUUUGCCUAUCCGCAGACAGCUCUGAAUCAGUUUUUACCCUUUCUUUUCUAGAAAGAUAAGAACAAUACCCAGUACGAUCCUCUUCUUCUGUACCAGCUUCACUGAGGAGCCAAUUAGUACAAAAAUGUCUUUUGAAUUUCAUAGUUUUGGUCAUGAUGCCAUCAUACCGCAUGCAUGGUGCUUAUGCAACUAUAAGUCUAUAACUACAGAAAUGUACCUUUCUUUGCCUACAGCUAAAUAUGACCCGUCUUAGAUGGUUUGGAAGAACUAAUAUAUGUACUCUCCCUUUUGCCUACUUUUGGGUAUGAAUAGUUCAACUGAUUUUUGGUGAUUCAGAUUAUAGUAUCCAGCUUUCCUGGCUCUAUUUUGUGCAUCUAAAUUUUUUGUGUGCAAAAAUGUUCCUGAAAAGACAUGAGUUGUAUAGUUCAGCAUCCUGCUUUGUGGUAGGUUGAUAAUAUUCCAUUUUUAUGAUUACCCUGCUUUAGAUUAUUCUUGUGUGCCUUGUGCAGCCUUUCCAUUCUAGGCAUCAUUUCUCAAUUGUUUGGGGUCCAAUUCUACAAAUGCUUGGAUGUGUUGGUUCGGCCUUCUGUUAAUCUCCAGAUGAUAGGUGAGGCAGGCAAGUUAAUUCUCUGGUUUCUCAUGAUACUUCUAAAAUCUAUUGCAUAGUAGGAUACGUGCCUGAAAUGUGUGCACACUUACAAUUUCGGUUGUUGUGGAGUUAAAUUAUAAAUUGAUUUGACACGAUAGAUAUAUAUAGAAAAAGCUUUCAACCAAGCAGACUAUUCUUUUAGUAUAUAAAUAGUAUGGCUAUAUACACUGAGUGCAAAAGCUAUUUGUUUGCCACUUAAGCUUAUAUAUUUUCUUUAGCUAUCGUCCUUUGACAUUUUCUUUAUGCAAUGGUUGGUUGAUCAAGCCGAGGACUUCCCUGCGGUGCUUGGUUGGACCAUGUUUCAUUCAGCUAAUAAAAUAGUAUAUAUGUGUGUGUGAUUGCUUCAUCAAUUUUCAGAAACAUUUGUUGCCCAGUAGCUUCCAAAUAGCAGUUUAGCUUUCUUUGUUGCACCUAUAUACUUGCACCUUACAACAACCAUCAUGUUCGCAAAUCGUCUCUAUGAAUGUCCUUUCUUUACUCAUUUAGGACUUAUGAGUUGAUUAAUAUGUCACUCUCAAUAAAGUGUUUUCUUUAAAUGAGGAAUGACAUAUAUAAUUGGUUCUAUUAUAGUAGCUAGCAUUCAUCUUUUCCAAAUAAAUUGUACUGCCUUUUGCUUUAUCUCUUGGUAUAUUUUUCAUUGCUAACAAUUGAUCUGUAGAGAUGCUAUUCUGUCAAGAUUUUCUGCUAUCAAAUAAUUCAUGGCCAGCUACAAUGUUUACCCUUUUAUGUAACUAUUGAGACCCUCUCAGCUGUGCGAUAUAAUCUCAGCUCUCAGGCGCUAGAUUAUGAAUAACUAAGCCUUUCAAGGAUGUUGCUUGAAGAUGGAGGGAUCUUUCCCUACAAGUUUGUUCUUUUUGUUGUUACAGCAAAGACUACUUCCUGGGUUGUCGAGGUGAGUUGUAUGAUGUAAGCACUUAUGGAGGAGAAAAAAUUACUUAGAAUUUGACUUCUCCUGCAUUUAUAGGCUAAUCAAGUGACCUUUUGUCAACUUUUAUGCAAUCUGGCUCUCCAAAUUUUGUGCUUGCUCUGAACUCUCAAAAUUUGUGCUUUGCUGUCCUGUGUUGAUUAGUCAAAUCCUGGUUUUGUCUUAAAGACUAUACCCAGCCAUGUCCUAGGUUUUUCAUUUUGUAUGAAUUUCAUGUUUCCCUGGAAUAUGAGAAUACACCAACUGGAAGAACUGUUGAGCAACACAUUUUCAUGGGAUUUUAUAUGUUGUGAUGUCUGAUUUUUGUCUCUCUUCCAGUUUACAUAGAGAAGCCUCGGUAAGUACUCAAGAAUUUUGUUUUCGUCUAUAUUGACAGACUUUAGGUAUUUUUUUAGAAUGGUUCUGAAACGAGGUCACUCCUACUGAUCUUGCUCUUCGUGUCCGGUGGCAGGAUGCUAGGUCAAGAAUGCAGGGUGGGCGAAAGAAAAUUGUGAAUGCUUUUAUCUCCGUGGUCAUUUGGAGCAUAUGGAGGGACAAGAUAGCGGGCUUUAAUAGUGUCUUCGCGCUGCUCCAGAGAGUCAUCGAUCCUGAUACUAGGCAGUAGGCUGGUGUGAGCUUGGGUCAUUUGAUCAUCCCCGAUUGUGUAAAGACUCCUCUGGAAUAUAUGCAAUCCUAUUGCAUGGUUUAAAAAAGAAUGAUUCUGAAACGGGUGUAAAGCAGUGUACGUGCUUGGCCACAGCUAAACCUACUAAUAUAUGGAAUUUUUUUCAAAGCACACAUGGUGUUAGUGGGUCUCUGCUCCAGUUGGCGCAACGGGUGGUAUCAUGCCCAUGCCUAUAUGACACGAUAUACUUCUUUGUAAUGUAAUCAGUUGUGCAUGUCAAUGGAAGUGGUUUAAAGCAUGUAAGCUGAUGCAUCUUGUGCUUGCUUGUCACUAUUUGUACUAGGCAAGGUCUGCAAUAGAUUAUAUAUUCAUUCAAA